rnacentral:rRNA from 1 species
GUGGGGAAUAUUGCGCAAUGGGGGAAACCCUGACGCAGCAACGCCGCGUGCAGGAAGAAGGUCUUCGGAUUGUAAACUGUUGUCGCAGGGGAAGAAGACAGUGACGGUACCCUGUGAGAAAGUCACGGCUAACUACGUGCCAGCAGCCGCGGUAAUACGUAGGUGACAAGCGUUGUCCGGAUUUACUGGGUGUAAAGGGCGCGUAGGCGGAUGUGCAAGUCAGUCGUGAAAUACCGGGGCUCAACCCCGGGGCUGCGAUUGAAACUGCACACCUUGAGUAUCGGAGAGGAAAGCGGAAUUCCUAGUGUAGCGGUGAAAUGCGUAGAUAUUAGGAGGAACACCAGUGGCGAAGGCGGCUUUCUGGACGACAACUGACGCUGAGGCGCGAAAGUGUGGGGAGCAAACAGGA